GGUGUACAAUAAAGCAGUUCUACCAUUCUAUACAUUACUCAGUGCUCAUCAUGAUAUCUUCUGAACACCCAAUAUGGACACAGCCGUUGCCCUCAAGGAGAAGGAUACCUGCGAACAGGUGGCCCCGAUCAAGGAGGAAAUACGCAAGUAGCACAAGUUGGUAUAAAAUCAUAUGCAAUACUGACAUUUUCAGGGCCUUAGUUAAAAUGUGGCUGUCAUGUGGGAGAGAGUGGGAACUACUGAGAAAUUAAGGAAAACAGCUUUUGGUAUUCAGAGAGCAGUAGCUUUCUUCUCUAUGCCCUUCUCAUCUCCACCCAAAAUCAAAAUGGUUUAAAGCAUGCACUGAACAAUGAGAAAAACACCAUGUUUUCUCCUUACCUACCCUGGAGUCUAGUACAUCUGCGCCAGGAGGCCAAGCCCAAGUCCUGUGAAGCACUGCGGGCUCAUUUUCUGAGCUGAUCCUGAAGGAUAGAUAAGGAGUUUCAUCAGGCAGUGGGGGUGGAAGGAGAGAGCUCACCAAGCAGGCAAGUUAGAGAGAUAUUCUGGGCAAAGCGAACAGUUUGUGCAAAGGCGUGGAAGCAUGAGAAACCAUAAUAGUUUAGGGAAGCCACGAGCUUUAGUGUGAACGGAGGCAAGUAUGGCAGCAAUUGCCAGGAAAUGAGGCUGCAGAGAUAUAUUGGUCCCAUGUUAUGAAGGACCUUGUCUGCUACCAUAAGGAAUAGAAAAUGACUGUGCUGUGCUCUCCCAAUGCGGGGUACUGUUACAUAAAAUAAAGAGAGAUACAGUUGGAAAUGUG